ACAUGUAACUUAACAAAGCAAUGUACCCUAAAAUCCAUAUCUGUAGGAUCUGUGUUGGGACUGUGCACAUCUGUAUCUGCAAUUUGUCUCCUGUCAUCAUCAUCAUCUCAAUUUUCUCCAAUUCAUGGUUCGGUUUCAAAUGAUAUAUUGGCAAAAGUUCUAUAGUUGGCUGUCCACUGGACAUCAACCCUCUCUUUUACUGAACUUGCCAUGACAGAGGCUAACAUUGACACCACUCACAUGCAAGCAUGAUUCCACCCAAUAUUGACCCCCAAGCCAACUAUCAGAUGCACACCCCAAAGGGUGAGCAAGCAUAGUUAUUGGGGUGUAGUUUCAAUGCAAACCACUAAGCAGAAUUAUUCUUUUUAUUGCAGGCUAAUGCUUUUGCAAAGAAGCUUGGCUAUGCCUCGCCACUUCAAGCGGGCCUAGUGAAAUUGCAGGCCCUUCUUUUGGGAUGAGGAAUAUAUGUUACCUUGUGAAAAAAGCAGAGAAGAAAUGGUGGAGUAGGCUGUUAAAGCAGGAAGGGAAGCCUCAUGUGUUUUUGAAAGUAGACUGGAACCAAUGGGUCGAUGAAGAUGAAGAGCAAGAACACAAAUCUGGAGAUGACAUGGACUUCGGUGGCAUGGAUUUCUCAGUAUGUAGCCAAGUCUGCUUGUGAAAAACCAUAAGAAUGUGCAGUUAUACAAGUGAAGCUUUUGUUUGAUGACUUUUUCUAAUCCCACAGUCACUUCUAUACAUGGAUGAGUAAGCAGUGCAUCAGGUUUCUCUCCCUAUUUAAAAAUUACAUGAUGCUGUCCAUCAACUCAUUAGGUGGGCCACACAAGUAUGGUAGAAUUUUUUUGGUAUCCGCCAAUAGUAUUUCUUUGCCUUGAGUAAUAGGUGUUCCUUAUAUGCAUAUUACUUGAUAUUUGUUAGUCUUGUUACCAAACAGGGGCUUGUCACACAAGUUUUGUAUAUUGAUAAAUAUUUUUAAUUGAAAACAUUUGAAGCUAUCUAUCUUGUAGUUUGAAGACUUGCUUUAAUGAUCCAAAUAGGAGUCUGUUGAAUU